rnacentral:rRNA from 1 species
AUUGAACGCUGGCGGCAGGCCUAACACAUGCAAGUCGAACGAGUGGCGGACGGGUGAGUAAUGUCUGGGAAACUGCCUGAUGGAGGGGGAUCACUACUGGAAACGGUAGCUAAUACCGCAUACCAUCAGAUGUGCCCAGAUGGGAUUAGCUUGUUGGUGGGGUAAAGGCUCACCAAGGCGACGAUCCCUAGCUGGUCUGAGAGGAUGACCAGCAACACGGGAACUGAGACACGGUCCAGAAUCCUACGGGAGGCAGCAGUGGGGAAUAUUGGACAAUGGGCGAAAGCCUGAUGCAGCAAUGCCGCGUGUGUGAAGAAGGCCUUCGGGUUGUAAAGUACUUUCAGCGGGGAGGCGUUACCCGCAGAGGAAGCACCGGCUAACUCCGUGCCAGCAGCCGCGGUAAUUC